rnacentral:rRNA from 1 species
AUACGGAGGGUGCAAGCGUUACUCGGAAUCACUGGGCGUAAAGCGCAUGCAGGCGGCCAGAUAAGUUGGAAGUGAAAGCCUACGGCUCAACCGUAGAACUGCUUCCAAAACUGUCUGGCUAGAGUCUGGGAGGGGAAGAUGGAAUUAGUAGUGUAGGGGUAAAAUCCGUAGAGAUUACUAGGAAUACCAAAAGCGAAGGCGAUCUUCUGGAACAGUACUGACGCUGAGAUGCGAAAGCGUGGGGAGCAAACAGAAUUAGAUACCCUAGUAGUCC